UCUAAAAUGUCAUACCAAUAAAUUUAAUAAAAAAAUUAUAAUGUUAACAAUUAGAGCUGAAUUUUAAAAUCCGAAAAGUGAAAGGACUAAAUUCUUGAAAAUAAACAUAUAGACUAAAUUUCAAUUUUGGUAAGAGUAUAGGGACCUAUGGCAAAUUUUAACCUUUAAUAAACGAAAGAAUUUAAAAUAAAAAAUAAAAAGUUAGAGGG
rnacentral:lncRNA from 1 species